UACGUAGGUGGCGAGCGUUAUCCGGAAUGAUUGGGCGUAAAGGGUGCGUAGGCGGCCUGCUAAGUCUGGAGUGAAAGGUACCGGCUCAACCGGUACAGGCUCUGGAAACUGGCGGGCUAGAGAGCAGGAGAGGGCGGUGGAACUCCAUGUGUAGCGGUAAAAUGCGUAGAUAUUAGGAGGAACACCAGUUGCGAAGGCGACUCUCUGGCCUGUAACUGACACUGAGGCUCGAAAGCGUGGGGAGCAAACAGG
rnacentral:rRNA from 1 species